rnacentral:rRNA from 1 species
UCUGGGAAACUGCCUGAUGGAGGGGGAUAACUACUGGAAACGGUAGCUAAUACCGCAUAACGUCGCAAGACCAAAGAGGGGGACCUUCGGGCCUCUUGCCAUCGGAUGUGCCCAGAUGGGAUUAGCUAGUAGGUGGGGUAACGGCUCACCUAGGCGACGAUCCCUAGCUGGUCUGAGAGGAUGACCAGCCACACUGGAACUGAGACACGGUCCAGACUCCUACGGGAGGCAGCAGUGGGGAAUAUUGCACAAUGGGCGCAAGCCUGAUGCAGCCAUGC